AUGAACGCUAGCGACAGGCUUAACACAUGCAAGUCGAGGGGCAGCACAGGUAGCAAUACCGGGUGGCGACCGGCGCACGGGUGAGUAACGCGUAUGCAACUUACCUAUCAGAGGGGGAUAACCCGGCGAAAGUCGGACUAAUACCGCAUGAAGCAGGGGUCCCGCAUGGGGAUAUUUGCUAAAGAUUCAUCGCUGAUAGAUAGGCAUGCGUUCCAUUAGGCAGUUGGCGGGGUAACGGCCCACCAAACCGACGAUGGAUAGGGGUUCUGAGAGGAAGGUCCCCCACAUUGGUACUGAGACACGGACCAAACUCCUACGGGAGGCAGCAGUGAGGAAUAUUGGUCAAUGGCCGAGAGGCUGAACCAGCCAAGUCGCGUGAGGGAUGAAGGUUCUAUGGAUCGUAAACCUCUUUUAUAAGGGAAUAAAGUGCGGGACGUGUCCCGUUUUGUAUGUACCUUAUGAAUAAGGAUCGGCUAACUCCGUGCCAGCAGCCGCGGUAAUACGGAGGAUCCGAGCGUUAUCCGGAUUUAUUGGGUUUAAAGGGUGCGUAGGCGGCCUUUUAAGUCAGCGGUGAAAGUCUGUGGCUCAACCAUAGAAUUGCCGUUGAAACUGGGGGGCUUGAGUAUGUUUGAGGCAGGCGGAAUGCGUGGUGUGGCGGUGAAAUGCAUAGAUAUCACGCAGAACCCCGAUUGCGAAGGCAGCCUGCCAAGCCAUUACUGACGCUGAUGCACGAAAGCGUGGGGAUCAAACAGGAUUAGAUACCCUGGUAGUCCACGCAGUAAACGAUGAUCACUAGCUGUUUGCGAUACACUGUAAGCGGCACAGCGAAAGCGUUAAGUGAUCCACCUGGGGAGUACGCCGGCAACGGUGAAACUCAAAGGAAUUGACGGGGGCCCGCACAAGCGGAGGAACAUGUGGUUUAAUUCGAUGAUACGCGAGGAACCUUACCCGGGUUUGAACGCAUUCGGACCGAGGUGGAAACACCUUUUCUAGCAAUAGCCGUUUGCGAGGUGCUGCAUGGUUGUCGUCAGCUCGUGCCGUGAGGUGUCGGCUUAAGUGCCAUAACGAGCGCAACCCUUGCCACUAGUUACUAACAGGUAAAGCUGAGGACUCUGGUGGGACUGCCAGCGUAAGCUGCGAGGAAGGCGGGGAUGACGUCAAAUCAGCACGGCCCUUACAUCCGGGGCGACACACGUGUUACAAUGGCGUGGACAAAGGGAAGCCACCUGGCGACAGGGAGCGAAUCCCCAAACCACGUCUCAGUUCGGAUCGGAGUCUGCAACCCGACUCCGUGAAGCUGGAUUCGCUAGUAAUCGCGCAUCAGCCAUGGCGCGGUGAAUACGUUCCCGGGCCUUGUACACACCGCCCGUCAAGCCAUGGGAGCCGGGGGUACCUGAAGUCCGUAACCGCGAGGAUCGGCCUAGGGUAAAACUGGUGACUGGGGCU
rnacentral:rRNA from 1 species